rnacentral:rRNA from 1 species
UGCCUACGGGACGCAGCAGUGGGGAAUAUUGGGCAAUGGGCGCAAGCCUGACCCAGCAACGCCGCGUGAAGGAAGAAGGCUUUCGGGUUGUAAACCUCUUUUAAGAGGGAAGAGCAGAAGACGGUACCUCUUGAAUAAGCCACGGCUAACUACGUGCCAGCAGCCGCGGGAAUACGUAGGUGGCAAGCGUUGUCCGGAUUUACUGGGUGUAAAGGGCGUGCAGUCGGGAAGACAAGCCAGAUGUGAAAUCCCGCGGCGCAACCGCGGAACUGCAGUCGAAACUGAUUUUCUUGAG